AGCCAGACUCCUACGGGAGGCAGCAGUGGGGAAUAUUGCACAAUGGGGGAAACCCUGAUGCAGCGACGCCGCGUGAGCGAUGAAGUAUUUCGGUAUGUAAAGCUCUAUCAGCAGGGAAGAAAAUGACGGUACCUGACUAAGAAGCCCCGGCUAACUGCGUGCCAGCAGCCGCGGUAAUACGUAGGGGGCAAGCGUUAUCCGGAUUUACUGGGUGUAAAGGGAGCGUAGACGGCUGUGCAAGCCAGAUGUGAAAGCCCGGGGCUCAACCCCGGGACUGCAUUUGGAACUGUGUGGCUGGAGUGUCGGAGAGGCAGGCGGAAUUCCUAGUGUAGCGGUGAAAUGCGUAGAUAUUAGGAGGAACACCAGUGGCGAAGGCGGCCUGCUGGACGAUGACUGACGUUGAGGCUCGAAAGCGUGGGGAGCAAACAGGAUUAGAUACCCCCGUAAC
rnacentral:rRNA from 1 species